UCCUGACUGACCGAUAGUGAACCAGUACCGUGAGGGAAAGGCGAAAAGAACCCCGGCGAGGGGAGUGAAAAAGAACCUGAAACCGUGUACGUACAAGCAGUGGGAGCACGCUUAGGCGUGUGACUGCGUACCUUUUGUAUAAUGGGUCAGCGACUUAUAUUCUGUAGCAAGGUUAACCGAAUAGGGGAGCCGAAGGGAAACCGAGUCUUAACUGGGCGUUAAGUUGCAGGGUAUAGACCCGAAACCCGGUGAUCUAGCCAUGGGCAGGUUGAAGGUUGGGUAACACUAACUGGAGGACCGAACCGACUAAUGUUGAAAAAUUAGCGGAUGACUUGUGGCUGGGGGUGAAAGGCCAAUCAAACCGGGAGAUAGCUGGUUCUCCCCGAAAGCUAUUUAGGUAGCGCCUCGUGAAUUCAUCUCCGGGGGUAGAGCACUGUUUCGGCAAGGGGGUCAUCCCGACUUACCAACCCGAUGCAAACUGCGAAUACCGGAGAAUGUU
rnacentral:rRNA from 1 species